UUAAUUCUUGUUUACGAUUCAGACGCAAAGCCUUCUGCAUAAAAGCGGCGCACGAGGCGCCGAAGCACGGAGUUUGCUUCCACUGGUUUGAAGGGUUGAAGGCCCCGAGAGGCCAUUCAGUAAUGAUCCCUCCGCAGGUUCACCUACGGAGA
rnacentral:misc_RNA from 1 species